GACGAACGCUGGCGGCGUGCUUAACACAUGCAAGUCGAACGGAAAGGCCCUGCUUUUGUGGGGGGCUCGAGUGGCGAACGGGUGAGUAACACGUGAGUAACCUGCCCUUGACUUUGGGAUAACUUCAGGAAACUGGGGCUAAUACCGGAUAGGAGCUCCUGCUGCAUGGUGGGGGUUGGAAAGUUUCGGCGGUUGGGGAUGGACGCGCGGCUUAUCAGCUUGUUGGUGGGGUAGUGGCUUACCAAGGCUUUGACGGGUAGCCGGCCUGAGAGGGUGACCGGCCACAUUGGGACUGCGAUACGGCCCAGACUCCUACGGGAGGCAGCAGUGGGGAAUAUUGCACAAUGGGCGGAAGCCUGAUGCAGCAACGCCGCGUGCGGGAUGACGGCCUUCGGGUUGUAAACCGCUUUCGCCUGUGACGAAGCGUGAGUGACGGUAAUGGGUAAAGAAGCACCGGCUAACUACGUG
rnacentral:rRNA from 1 species